GUAGGAAUAAACUAAGAUAAGUUGUUUGGUUCAUACCCUGAUCAUAGAGAUAUUCUCUUUCCUAUU
rnacentral:tRNA from 1 species